rnacentral:rRNA from 1 species
UUAAAUUGAAGAGUUUGAUCAUGGCUCAGAUUGAACGCUGGCGGCAGGCCUAACACAUGCAAGUCGGACGGUAGCACAGAGGAGCUUGCUCCUCGGGUGACGAGUGGCGGACGGGUGAGUAAUGUCUGGGAAACUGCCCGAUGGAGGGGGAUAACUACUGGAAACGGUAGCUAAUACCGCAUAACGUCGCAAGACCAAAGUGGGGGACCUCCGGGCCUCACACCAUCGGAUGUGCCCAGAUGGGAUUAGCUUGUAGGCGGGGUAACGGCCCACCUAGGCGACGAUCCCUAGCUGGUCUGAGAGGAUGACCAGCCACACUGGAACUGAGACACGGUCCAGACUCCUACGGGAGGCAGCAG